ensembl:lncRNA
CGGAGAGAGCGUUGGGGAGGGAUAGAAGACGGAGAGAGCGUUGGGGGAGGAUAGAAGACAGAGCGAGCGUUGGGGAGGGAUAGAAGACGGAGAGAGCGUUGGGUAGGGAUAGAAGACGGAGAGAGUGUUGGGUAGGGAUAGAAGACAGAGAGAGCGUUGGGGAGGGAUAGAAGACGGAGAGAGCGCGUUGGGUAGGGAUAGAAGACGGAGAGAGAGCGUUGGGUAGGGAUAGAAGACGGAGAGAGCGUUGGGUAGGGAUAGAAGACGGAGAGAGAGCGUUGGGUAGGGAUAGAAGACGGAGAGAGAGCGUUGGGGAGGGAUAGAAGACGGAGAGAGCGUUGGGGAGGGAUAGAAGACAGAGAGAGAGUUGGGUAGGGAGAAGACGGAGCGUUGGGUAGGGAUAGACGACAGAGAGAGCGUUGGGUAGGGAUAGAAGACAGAGAGAGCGUUGGGGAGGGAUAGAAGACAGAGAGAGCGUUGGGGAGGGAUAGAAGACAGAAAGUGAAAGAACAAAGCAUGAACAACAUGCUUUGUUCAUUCACUAUAACCUGCCUUAGACAAUGUAAAAGGCUUGGAGACUCUGGUCAAUGUUUUCCUCUUUCAUUUACAUAAUGAGCAAACCAUAACAUAACAAGACGUCUGUUAACAAUGUCUGUGAGAAGGACAGAUCGUUGUACGGCGGGCAAUGCAAUUACAAAAAGGUACCCUGUUCAGAGUUCCCAUCUAUUUAAAAUGUUCUGGUAAGUUUGCUCCCAGCUGGCUUCCCAAAAUAAAAAAAUAAAAAAUGACAAAUAUGUUUGUUCCCAGCUGUGUCCGAGUGAGAGGAGAAUCAUCCUUCAUGUGUAAAGCGCUAAUCAUGCAAUCCCUUACUACUGCUUUAUUACCAACUUACAACUAGUAAACAUAUCCCUAGUGAGCAUGACCAGCAUACUAGUUAGUAAACAAUUUCCUACUGAGCAUGACCAGCAUACUAGUUAGUAAACAUAUCCCUACUGAGCAUGACCAGCAUACUAGUUAGUAAACAUAUCCCUACUGAGCAUGACCAGCAUACUAGUUAGUAAACAUAUCCCUAGUGAGCAUGACCAGCAUACUAGUUAGUAAAAAUAUCCCUACUGAGCAUGACCAGUAUACUAGUUAGUAAAAAUAUCCCUACUGAGCAUGACCAGUAUACUAGUUAGUAAAAAUAUCCCUACUGAGCAUGACCAGCAUAGUUGCCAUGCCUCCAUGGUAACAAAGCCAUCAUUCCUCCUCUCUUCCAUCCCAAUGAGAUGGGGAUGUAAUUCACAUGUAAAUGCAACUAUUCUCCUUUAUUCCCUUCAGAAAGUAUCAGGUGCAAACCCUUCAUGAACAGAACACCCCCCUCCCCCACACAACUUUCUCUGAUAAGGGAUGGAGCUGUGCCAUGGAUUUGCAGUGUGUGGUAGUUUGGUCCCACCAGAGCCCAGUUCCCUGUAGUAUCCUCUUACCAUCCAGCUCCAGACAGAUGUGCUGCAGACUCAUCCCUCUGAAGAGGACCCCCUCCUUUUCCCCAUAGAUCACCACCCUGCCCACACGGCCCAUCAGCGCCGGGUCUCGGCCUAUCGUGGCGCAGCUCUGGGUCACGUGGUACUCCCUCUGCAGGAAGUCUUCCAGGCGCUUGGCGGCAGCCCCGCCCGGCUGGCCCUGCCCCUCGCCUUCCUCCAGGAGCAGUAGCUGGGUGAGAAUGGCUACCUGCUGGCGCGCCCGUGUCUGGGUCAACGCCCGGGGGUUCUUGGCGCCGCUGGCCCGCGCCAGGUUGCGCAGUAGGUCGGUGCCCCGGAGCGGCGUGGCGGGCGAAUGGAAAGGCCGGGAGAAGACGUAGGGGCUGUGGGGGUCGACGCCCACGUUGGAGGAGGUCUGAAGGAGCAGCUCCAGGCAGGACUCGCAGUGCGGGGGCAGGAUGAGGGGCUGGAUGCGCCCCCGCUUGCCCAGCACACCUGCCCGGGGGAGGUGGCAGAGGACCUGAUGCUCGAAGGGGGAGAGGAUGGCCUCCAUGCCUGUCGGGGGUGUUGGCCGAGUUAGCCUGGGUCAGGGUGGGGCUUUGGGGGUGGUGCGGUUGUGGUAGUCCUGGGUGGUGAGCUUGGCCACUUCACACUCUCGGUGGCGGUUGUAGAGGAUGAGCAGCGCCAGGCUGGAAUGGCAGAGGAGGCGCCAGGCCUCAGCCGAACUGGGAGAGCGAGUGAGAGACAAGAAGGAAGAGUGCUGCUGCCGGCUCAGGUAGAGCACCAGGCAGGAGAGGGAAGAGAGGAGAGGGGGCAUGUGGUGUCUGUGGGAGCUAGAAAAAGAGAGAGAAAGAGAUAGAGGGAGAGAGAGCGACACAGAGGGAGAG